rnacentral:rRNA from 1 species
GACGAACGCUGGCGGCGUGCUUAACACAUGCAAGUCGAACGGAAAGGCCCUGCUUUUGUGGGGUGCUCGAGUGGCGAACGGGUGAGUAACACGUGAGUAACCUCCCCUUGACUUUGGGAUAACUUCAGGAGACUGGGGCUAAUACCGGAUAGGAGCUCCUGCUGCAUGGUGGGGGUUGGAAAGUUUCGGCGGUUGGGGAUGGACUCGCGGCUUAUCAGCUUGUUGGUGGGGUAGUGGCUUACCAAGGCUUUGACGGGUAGCCGGCCUGAGAGGGUGACCGGCGUCAUUGGGACUGCGAUACGGCCCAGACUCCUACGGGAGGCAGCAGUGGGGAAUAUUGCACAAUGGGCGGAAGCCUGUUGCAGCAACGCCGCGUGCGGGAUGACGGCCUUCGGGUUGUAAACCGCUUUCGCCUGUGACGAAGCGUGAGUGACGGUAAUGGGUAAAGAAGCACCGGCUAACUACGUG